rnacentral:rRNA from 1 species
AUUGAACGCUGGCGGCAUGCUUUACACAUGCAAGUCGAACGGUAACAGGGAGCUUGCUCCGCUGACGAGUGGCGAACGGGUGAGUAAUGCGUCGGAACGUGCCGAGUAGUGGGGGAUAACGCAUCGAAAGGUGUGCUAAUACCGCAUACGUACUGAGGUAGAAAGUGGGGGACCUUCGGGCCUCACGCUAUUCGAGCGGCCGACGUCUGAUUAGCUAGUUGGUGAGGUAAAGGCUCACCAAGGCGACGAUCAGUAGCGGGUCUGAGAGGAUGAUCCGCCACACUGGGACUGGGACACGGCCCAGACGCCUACGGGAGGCAGCAGUGGGGAAUUUUGGACAAUGGGCGCAAGCCUGAUCCAGCCAUGCCGCGUGUCUGAAGAAGGCCUUCGGGUUGUAAAGGACUUUUGUCCGGGAGCAAAUGCCUGGUGUUAAUAGCACUGGGAGCUGAGAGUACCGGAAGAAUAAGCACCGGCUAACUACGUGCCAGCAGCCGCCGUAACAC